rnacentral:rRNA from 1 species
UUGGGCGUUCCCCUUCGGGGGACAGGGUGACAGGUGGUGCAUGGGUUGUCGUCAGCUCGUGUCGUGAGAUGUUGGGUUAAGUCCCGCAACGAGCGCAACCCUCGCCUCUAGUUGCCAGCAUUCGGUUGGGCACUCUAGAGGGACUGCCGGCGACAAGUCGGAGGAAGUGGGAUGACGUCAAAUCAUCAUGCCCCUUAUGACCUGGGCUACACACGUGCUACAAUGGCUGAAACAAAGGGCAGCGAAGCAGUGAUGUGGAGCGAAACCCAAAAAGCAGUCUCAGUUCGGAUUGAAGUCUGCAACUCGACUUCAUGAAGUUGGAAUCGCUAGUAAUCGUAGAUCAGAACGCUACGGUGAAUACGUUCUCGGGGUUU